UUGACGGGGAGCACUACAACGGGUGGAGCCUGCGGUUUAAUUGGACUCAACGCCGGAAAACUCACCGGGGGCGACAGCAAUAUGUAGGUCAAGCUAAAGACUUUACAGAAUCGCUGAGAGGAGGUGCAUAGCCGUCGUCAGUUCGUACUGUGAAGCAUCCUGUUAAGUCAGGCAACGAGCGAGACCCACGCCCACAGUUGCCAGCGUACUCUCCGGAGUGACGGGUACACUGUGGGACCGCCGCUGCUAAAGCGGAGGAAGGAAUGGGCAACGGUAGGUCAGUAUGCCCCGAAUAUCCCGGGCUACACGCGAGCUACAAUGGUUGGUACAAUGGGUAUCUACCCCGAAAGGGGACGGGAAUCUCCUAAAACCAAUCUUAGUUCGGAUUGAGGGCUGCAACUCGCCCUCAUGAAGCUGGAAUCCGUAGUAAUCGCGUUUCAACAGAACGCGGUGAAUACGUCCCUGCUCCUU
rnacentral:rRNA from 1 species